GAUGAAGAACGUAGCGAAAUGCGAUACUUGGUGUGAAUUGCAGAAUCCCGCGAAUCAUCGAGUUUUUGAACGCAAGUUGCGCCCGAAGCCAUUCGGCCGAGGGGACGUCUGCCUGGGUGUCACGCAUCGUUGCCCCCCCAAACUCCGGUUCGGGCGGGGCGGAAGUUGGCCUCCCGUGCGUGCCUGCGCGCGCGGUUAGCCCAAAAGCGAGUCCUCGGCGACGAGCGCCACGACAAUCGGUGGUUUUUUUACCCUCGUUCCUCGUCGUGCGUGUCCCGUCGCCCGAACGCGCUCUUGUGACCCUCACGCGUCGCCUCGGCGGCGCUCCCAACGCGACCCCAGGUCAGGCGGGACUACCCGCUGAGUUUAAGCAUAUCAAUAAGCGGAGGA
rnacentral:misc_RNA from 1 species